UACGGGGGGGGCAAGCGUUGUUCGGAAUUACUGGGCGUAAAGGGCGCGUAGGCGGGCUGCCGCGUCCGGGGUGAAAUCCCACGGCUCAACCGUGGAACUGCCCCGGAUACGGGCGGCCUCGAGGGGGGUAGGGGCAUCUGGAACUGUGAGUGGAGCGGUGAAAUGCGUUGAUAUUCACAGGAACUCCGGUGGCGAAGGCGAGGUGCUGGACCCCUCCUGACGCUGAGGCGCGAAAGCCAGGGGAGCAAACGGG
rnacentral:rRNA from 1 species